rnacentral:snoRNA from 1 species
AUGUCUCUUGCCUCGCUCGGUCUGCCGUUUCCCCUCGGCUAAUCUUGAGCUGGAUGCAGCCGGUCACUUUCUAAGUGCUGGCUGUAUGAGACAAGAAGAAGCGUGAAAGCGCGUCGACGAUCUUUGAGUACGAUUUGAUCCGAAAUGCACCACGGGUCUACGUCGUAAUUUAUCAGUUGGGACAAUU